GAUUUAUUUAAAAAGCUCACUUUACCUGAUGUGAUGCAAAAGUUGAAUAGAUGUUUAAUUUCUUUCACAGUUAAGCUCUAAUAUGACAUGCCUAAAGUGGCACAGAAUAAGUACGGUGAUGAAAAUAAUCUCAGUUUCUUCGUUGAGUCUGGUGUCUGUCAGGAGGUUUCUAGGGGCAUCUCAUCAUUAUUUAAGUUAAACUCAAUUAUUCAGAAAUGCCCUGUGGCCUAGCAGCAGCAGAGCAUAGCAGCAAGUGCUUACUAAACUGCUUAGUACUGUCUGAGGAGCUUUGAUUUCCAACUUUCAAGGGGAAAUAUUCAAGGCAUCCACAGAGGAACCGGGCACCACAUUAACUAUGCACAGUGCAUGUGAAACCUGCUGUUAAUGGGCACACAGAUAUUACGUUUAACUCUGCAAGUAUUUCCAAAAGGAAUCAACAGGCUGCAUUUAGACUAUAUACAGGAGACUGUUCCUAAAUUCCUCUUCUUCUAAGUUAUUCUCUUUCCCUUUUAAAUACUUUCACAUCCACUUUCAGUACAGGUAGCUUAAUUUCUGUCACGU
rnacentral:lncRNA from 1 species